CUUUUAUUUGUUUUUUUCAAGAUACUAUGACAACGAACAAGAAAUGCUGCUGCUGACGCCUUAUUUUUCUUUCGAAUUGCUCACCAGAGAGACUGGAGAAAGUGACUAACCAUGACGCUGUUUAGUAUUUUUUGGAGGAAAAUGGCGUGCAGCUUUUCGUUCGAUAUGAAGAGCCUGGUGUUUCAAUUAUUUCAAUAAUUUAUCUUAGAAUACAUGUAUUGCAAAAACCUAAAUAAAUAAUACCCCAUGUGA